UCCACCAAUACAUCGACGGACUGAGGAUUGGUUAAGGACAAGCUACUAGCUCUAUUGCUAAAACCGGUGAUGUCAUAAAAUCGAGAGAGGAUGUUGUAUUCUAGCUUCAAUUUUGCCCACGGAUCAAGCAUAGAAGGAUGCCCUAAUUGUUACAUCCUCCAAACAUAUUCCCCUCCCUCAUCAACGUUGGGUUCUAAAUAUUCCAGAUGUUCAUGUGGAUAUGUCUGAAGGUGUACAUUCCGCUGCCGUGGCUUGUCAUCUUUCCAACAAAGGGCUCCAGGUGAGAAGCCAAUCAGGCCAGUACUGUCUGACUCCGGUGCUCUCCUUGUCAAACACUGCACAUCGAAGUCUUCAAAUAUGACCAUACUUGGCUCAUGGAACUACGUACAGGGCCAAAAGCUCCUUCCGUGGCCUCUUUCACUCCCUGCACGCGUUUCUUCGCAACCCUCUACCUCUGUUUCCUGCUUGGCUAAAAGCUCCGUUCUAGUGAAACUCAAAGCAUGCUAGGAUACAACGUAGACGACAAAAGAUGCAGGUUGGUUUGAGCGUUUCCAGAAUUGUCACCGUUAGGACGGAUCUCGCAGCACUGGAAGAGUAUCUCGACUGACGUCGGCCGUGAAGCUCAGCAUGUCGUCCGACUGCAAAACCGCGGUCAUCUGGGUGUUUCGUUGGCUGUUGCAGAUUCCGGACCCCGACGACGCACCUUCGCCGGAUUGCCACCGCAAUGCCACUAGAGCGAAAUCAACCCCUGCCGAUACCGGAGCACAAAUGUUGUCUAGGAUCUGACCACGCCGGCUGCGAUCCACGCGGAGAACAAUACAUUUAGCUGAUGAGCAAUCCUUUAGCUCUUGAUUCUUCAAUUGCGCUUGUGUGUGGUCAGUGCCGAAGUCAGCCGCAAACAGCUUGUUUGCAACCCUUUAAUCUACCAUUUUUGUUAAUGUUUUUCGAUGCCUAGUUCUAGCAAAGAAAGAUGAAAAGCAGUGUUGCCGCAUAGCUAACUUGAAUUGAUGUCUUCACUCAUUCUUUCUGCAACCAACAGGAAGCAAAGCUGGAGAACUGUGUAGGAUUAUGAGGAGAACAGAGAAUCUUGUGUGAUGCUUUUUGAUUUCUAGUCGUCGUUGCAAUUGCCGUCGUCUUUCAGGCUACAAUCAUUCUGUGAGGAUGCUUGGUUGUGUAGACACCCUCUUUUGUUUUGUAAUCAGAAUUUUUCAAUCUCUAUCGGGGAGAAUGGGCAUUUCUGUUAGGUUUUUGCUUCUGUAACACUCUUUCGGCUAUUACAAUCUCAUGUAAUAUAAACAUAUUUGGUACAAAAAAUUCAAUUUCAACCAUGUGGUGUUUUUCAAAAGUCUUCCACAUCCAUAAAAUUUCAAAACUGUUGUUUGGUAUUAGGUAAUUCUUUAAAUAUUAU
rnacentral:lncRNA from 1 species